UGGGGAAUCUUGCGCAAUGGGCGAAAGCCUGACGCAGCAACGCCGCGUGGAGGAUGAAGGCCUUUGGGUUGUAAACUCCUGUCGGCUGGGAAGAAAUCAUACGGCGCUAAUACCGCCGUAUGUUGACUGUACCAGCAAAGGCAGCCCCGGCUAACUCUGUGGCAGCAGCCGCGGUAAUCCAGAGGGGGCCAGCGUUAUUCGGAAUUAUUGGGCGUAAAGGGCGCGUAGGCGGCCAUGCGUGUCUUCCGUGAAAUCCCUCGGCUUAACUGAGGACGUGCGGAAGAAACUGCAAGGCUCGAGUCCGGGAGAGGGGGGUGGAAUUCCCAGUGUAGCGGUGAAAUGCGUAGAUAUUGGGAGGAACACCGGUGGCGAAGGCGGCCCCCUGGACCGGUACUGACGCUGAGGCGCGAAAGCGUGGGUAGCAAAC
rnacentral:rRNA from 1 species